rnacentral:rRNA from 1 species
UACAGAGGGUGCGAGCGUUGUUCGGAAUUAUUGGGCGUAAAGGGCGCGUAGGCGGUGCGGUAAGUCACCUGUGAAACCUCUGGGCUUAACUCAGAGCCUGCAGGCGAAACUGCCGUGCUGGAGUGUGGGAGAGGUGCGUGGAAUUCCCGGUGUAGCGGUGAAAUGCGUAGAUAUCAAGAGGAACACCAGUGGCGAAGGCGAGUCCCUGGACGAUACCUGACACUGAGGCACGAAAGCCAAGGGAGCAAACAGG